UACGUAGGGUGCGAGCGUUGUCCGGAAUUACUGGGCGUAAAGAGCUCGUAGGUGGUUUGUCGCGUUGUUCGUGAAAACCGGGGGCUUAACCCUCGGCGUGCGGGCGGUACGGGCAGACUGGAGUACUGCAGGGGAGACUGGAAUUCCUGGUGUAGCGGUGGAAUGCGCAGAUAUCAGGAGGAACACCGGUGGCGAAGGCGGGUCUCUGGGCAGUAACUGACGCUGAGGAGCGAAAGCGUGGGGAGCGAACAGG
rnacentral:rRNA from 1 species